rnacentral:rRNA from 1 species
GAUGAACGCUAGCAGCAGGCCUAAUACAUGCAAGUCGAACGGUCCACUUCGGUGGAUAGUGGCGCACGGGUGCGUAACACGUAUGCAACCUACCUUACAUUGGGGGAUAGCCUUUCGAAAGGGAGAUUAAUACCGCAUAAGACAGUAACAUGGCAUCAUGUAGCUGUUAAAGAUUUAUCGAUGUAAGCUGGGCAUGCGUCCAAUUAGUUAGUUGGUGAGGUAAUGGCUCACCAAGACGAUGAUUGGUAGGGCGACUGAGAGGUCAAUCCCCCAGACUGGCACUGAGAUACGGGCCAGACUCCUACGGGAGGCAGCAGUAUGGAAUAUUGGGCAAUGGACGCAAGUCUGACCCAGCCAUGCCGCGUGCAGGAAGAAGGCGUUCUGCGUUGUAAUCUGCUUUUAUAUAGGAAGAAACGACCCUUGCGAGGGGCAUUGACGGUAUUAUAUGAAUAAGCACCGGCUAACUCCGUGCCAGCCGCCGCGGUAACAC